CUUUUUGUUUUUUUAAUUUUGUGAAGACGUGUGCACUUAAUGAAGCAUGCCACGGCCAAGAAAGUGGUAUCCAGCUGGAUAUACCCUCCUUGUGCGUAAACUCGGGCAGGUUCGUAAACGUAAGGAACGAUUUUUCGCGGUGGAUGUGAGAAGUUGGAUGCGGUAAAGAGAACUCUUCGACAGGGGCAAAAUGGACGUGUAAGCACCCAGACACAGGAGGAACGUGACACCUUCCAGGAUAUUCUUCGAGAUAGCAACAAUGGAACCAGUUUUCAAAAGAACCACGGCUUUUAAUGUGUUCUGCAGCAAAAGGCUGAAGGAUUGGACAAAUACUAAUUCUCUGGAAGUUGCAUUAAAGGAAUUGCCAAAGGCCAAAAGAACACGAGUCACAUGGGAUGCAAUGACAGUUAAAGCAUAAGAAAACAGUUUGGGGCCUCUUGGGGCCGUUGAUCACAUACCCAGUUCAAUAGAAAUUGAAUAAAUUUGCCAGAACAAUCCAGUUUUGGCUAAAUUUGAUAUUAAUUCUUUGAUAUGAAUCAAAUUGACCAGAAAAUUUAUAAAAGUAGAAUGAAAAGAAAAUAACAUUUAUUAUUUGUGGUUUACAUUUGUGCAUAGCUUAGGAUGCACUUUAAAUUUAGUCAGAUAAGACAUAAUGAAUCAUCUUGCAUAUUGUGACUUCUGGCUAUACAUACAAAUAUUGGCGCUUCAGUAACUGCAUUGGCUUUGGAGCAGAGUAGUGCUGAAUG